UACGUAGGGGGCUAGCGUUGUCCGGAAUCAUUGGGCGUAAAGCGCGUGUAGGCGGCCCGGUAAGUCCGCUGUGAAAGUCGGGGGCUCAACCCUCGGAUGCCGGUGGAUACUGUCGGGCUCGAGUACGGAAGAGGAGAGUGGAAUUCCUGGUGUAGCGGUGAAAUGCGCAGAUAUCAGGAGGAACACCAAUGGCGAAGGCAGCUCGCUGGGACGGUACUGACGCUGAGGCGCGAAAGCGUGGGGAGCAAACAGG
rnacentral:rRNA from 1 species